rnacentral:piRNA from 1 species
UGAUGAGUUUUCCGCGGCCGGCCGCUGC